CAGUAGACAUAUCCUGGGCUUCUGG
rnacentral:piRNA from 1 species